rnacentral:rRNA from 1 species
CCUACGGGUGGCAGCAGUGAGGAAUAUUGGUCAAUGGGCGGAAGCCUGAACCAGCCAAGUCGCGUGAGGGAUUAAGGCCCUGCGGGUCGUAAACCUCUUUUGUCGGGGAGCAGUGGUCCGGACGCGUCCGGACCGGGAGAGUACCCGGAGAAAAAGCAUCGGCUAACUCCGUGCCAGCAGCCGCGGUAAUACGGAGGAUGCGAGCGUUAUCCGGAUUUUUUGGGUUUAAAGGGUGCGCAGGCGGAUUUUUAAGUCAGCGGUCAAAUCGUGGGGCUCAACCCCAUCCAGCCGUUGAAACUGGGGAUCUAGAGUGUGCGAGAGGUAUGCGGAAUGCGUGGUGUAGCGGUGAAAUGCAUAGAUAUCACGCAGAACCCCGAUUGCGAAGGCAGCAUACCGGUGCACAACUGACGCUCAGGCACGAAAGCGUGGGUAUCGAACAGGAUUAGAUACCCUAGUAGUC